AGCGAACGCUGGCGGCAGGCCUAACACAUGCAAGUCGAACGAACUCUUCGGAGUUAGUGGCGAACGGGUGAGUAACACGUGGGAACGUGCCCUUUGGUACGGAAUAACUCAGGGAAACUUGAGCUAAUACCGUAUGUGCCCUUCGGGGGAAAGAUUUAUCGCCAUUGGAGCGGCCCGCGUCUGAUUAGCUAGUUGGUGAGGUAAAGGCUCACAAGGGCUACGGUCAGUAGCUGGUCUGAGAGGAUGAUCAGCCACAUUGGAACUGGGACACGGCCAAACCCCUACGGGAGGCAGCAGUGGGUAAUCUUGCGCAAUGGGCGAAAGCCUGACGCAGCCAUGCCGCGUGAAUGAUGAAGGUCUUAGGAUUGUAAAAUUCUUUCACCGGGGACGAUAAUGACGGUACCCGGAGAAGAAGCCCCGGCUAACUUCGUG
rnacentral:rRNA from 1 species